GAAAUGGAACACCCUGUUAAGAGCGUACAUCACCAGUAGACUGUGACGGCUCUGACGUCAGCAGACGCUGAAGUGAUGAAGCUCCGCCUCUGUAGCUUUAUCUCUCCGUCUCGUCUUCCUGUUGAGCCGGGAUGCAGGUGUAUGUGAACAGCUGAGUCCUGUCCUGAGGAGUUGGCCCUCCUGUGUUGGACCAUGCGUCUGUGAGGCGGUUGUAUAGUCUCCCCAAUGUACAGUACAUUCCCUUCAGACAUUUCUUCAUGGACCAGAACUACUGGACAGCUGUAUAAAAACAGGAAGAGAACGAAAGAGGCCUCUGGAGAAGGUCCUCCAAAAGUGUCUCUUAUUAAUCUCCUGAAAUGUAAUUUGAGGUGGCCGUGAGUAACAUUACAUGUUGUGGUUUACAUCCUCUCUGGUUCUGCUGCUCCCACUCCUGUGGUGUCCUCCAGUGACUCAUCGCCUUCGUCUUCAUCUCCCAUCAUUUCCUGCAUUUUUUUUUCUAGGCCUGUGCAUUAACCACAGAGCAGAAACUGCUCUUUAUGGAUCGACCCAGGCUUACCAGAGCCAUCAAUUACAGGGAGCGGGGGGUCUGGGGGGGGGUGUAGAUAUUUGGCCAUAACUCAGUGCAGCGGCCACGCAGGCAGCAGAAGCGACAAUGGCAGCAGCAGUAAACUACCCCUGAAGUGUUUAUCAGGCUAAUAAUGAUUUAAUGGUAAAGAGUGAGCUACUAAUUAUCACUGGUGAAAGAGAUAGACGAAGACAGAGAAAGAGAGAGAGAGAGAGAGACAAUGAGAGAGCCUGUCUGUACAUGAGUAAAUAACUGGGUGCAUAUGUCGCACAUAUGGAGGCGCUGAAUGCCCCUCCCCCCUCCCCCCAUCCCUCUAAGGGCUCUGGAUCUGCCCCUGGAAACAACAAUGACAGCAAACCACAAGGGUCCCUCCCGGCGUUCUUUAUGUCUUCUAAUCAGCAUUGAUCAUUAUGAGCAGGAAACAAAGAGAAGGAAAGCUAAAGAGAGAAGAAGAACAUCUGAUGAUCAGCCGAGUCUGAUGAUCAACACAGUUAUCAUCUAAUAAUGAGCAGCGCUCGUUUCAUUUAGAUCGUCAAACGCUGCUCGUCACCACAUGAUUGUCAACGACAGUCAAUUCCGCUGCUGCCUGUAUCUCAAUCUCACAGACAGCGCUCUGGUGUUACAGGAAACGUUGUUUUUUUUAGAGGAUAAGCUAGAAAAUGUGUUAAUAGUC